CAGGGAAUAUUAGUAAUGGGCGAAAGCCUGAACUAGCAACGCCGCGUGUGCGAAGAAGGCCUUCGGGUUGUAAAGCACUUUUUGAGAGGAUGAGGAAGGACGGUACUCUCAGAAUAAGUCUCGGCUAACUACGUGCCAGCAGCCGCGGUAACACGUAGGAGGCGAACGUUAUCCGGAUUUACUGGGCGUAAAGCGCGUGUAGGUGGGUUGGUAAGUAGGGCGUGAAAGCUCCUGGCUCAACUGGGAGGGGCCGUUCUAAACUGCCGAACUAGAGGAUGGUAGAGGGAGGUGGAAUUCCGGGUGUAGCGGUGGAAUGCGCAGAUAUCCGGAGGAACACCAGUGGCGAAAGCGGCCUCCUGGACCACUCCUGACACUCAGACGCGAAAGCUAGGGUAGCAAACGG
rnacentral:rRNA from 1 species